rnacentral:tRNA from 1 species
GGGGGAUUAGCUCAGCUGGCUAGAGCGUCUGCAUGGCAUGUAGAAGGUCAUCGGUUCGACUCCGAUAUUCUCCA